GCGGAAGAGGGCAAACCGAAGGUAGAAAUACCUUCGGGGUACGGACUGCUUUUAGGACUCGAUCUGUUAACCGAACGGCAUGGGAAGGCCGGUCAGAGAGUGUGAGAACCACGUAGGUGAAAACGGAAAGAGCUGCGCAGAUUCCAGAGUACGGCCAGACACGUGAAACCUGGUCGGAAGAUGGGGGGACCACCCUCCAACCCUAAAUACUACCCAGUGACCGAUAGCGUAUAGUACUGUGAAGGAAAGGUGAAA
rnacentral:rRNA from 1 species